rnacentral:rRNA from 1 species
GACGAACGCUGGCGGCGUGCCUAACACAUGCAAGUCGAGCGGGGAUUUAAGUGGAAGUUCUUCGGAAUGGAGAUGUAACUUCUAGCGGCGGACGGGUGAGUAACGCGUGAACAAUCUGUCCCGGACAGGGGGAUAACACUUGGAAACAGGUGCUAAUACCGCAUAAGACCACGGCCUCGCAUGGGGCUGAGGUAAAAGGAGCAAUCCGGUUCGGGGUGAGUUCGCGUCCGAUUAGCUAGGUGGUAGGGUACCGGCCCACCAAGGCGGCGACCGGUAGCCGGCCGGAGGGGGGGAACGGCCACAUUGGAACUGAGAGACGGUCGAAACUCCUACGGGGGGCAGCAGUGGGGAAUAUUGGGCCAUGGGCGAAAGCCUGACCCAGCAACGCCGCGUGAGGGAAGAAGGUUUUCGGAUUGUAAACCUCUGUCCUAUGGGACGAAGGAAGUGACGGUACCAUAGGAGGAAGCCCCGGCUAACUACGUG